ACGGGUGAGUAACACGUAUCCAACCUGCCGUCUACUCUUGGACAGCCUUCUGAAAGGAAGAUUAAUACAAGAUGGCAUCAUGAGUUCACAUGUUCACAUGAUUAAAGGUAUUCCGGUAGACGAUGGGGAUGCGUUCCAUUAGAUAGUAGGCGGGGUAACGGCCCACCUAGUCAACGAUGGAUAGGGGUUCUGAGAGGAAGGUCCCCCACAUUGGAACUGAGACACGGUCCAA
rnacentral:rRNA from 1 species